GUUGGGUAGGGGAGCGUUCUGUAAGCCUGCGAAGGUGUACUGUGAGGUAUGCUGGAGGUAUCAGAAGUGCGAAUGCUGACAUAAGUAACGAUAAUGCGGGUGAAAAACCCGCACGCCGGAAGACCAAGGGUUCCUGUCCAACGUUAAUCGGGGCAGGGUGAGUCGACCCCUAAGGCGAGGCUGAAAAGCGUAGUCGAUGGGAAACGGGUUAAUAUUCCCGUACUGGUGGUAACUGCGAUGGGGGAACGGAGAAGGCUAGGUUGUCCGGGCGACGGUCGUCCCGGUUCAAGCAGGUAGGCAGAGUGAUUAGGCAAAUCCGGUCACUUAAUGCUGAGAUGUGAUGACGAACCACCAAGGUGGUGAAGCAAUUGAUGCCCCGCUUCCAGGAAAAGCCUCUAAGCUUCAGGUUACCAACAAUCGUACCCCAAACCGACACAGGUGGUCAGGUAGAGAAUACUCAGGCGCUUGAGAGAACUCGGGUGAAGGAACUAGGCAAAAUGGUGCCGUAACUUCGGGAGAAGGCACGCUGGCGGUAGGUAAAGUCCCUCGCGGACAGCGCUGAAGCCAGUCGAAGAUACCAGCUGGCUGCAACUGUUUAUUAAAAACACAGCACUGUGCAAACACGAAAGUGGACGUAUACGGUGUGACGCCUGCCCGGUGCUGGAAGGUUAAUUGAUGGGGUUAGCCGUAAGGCGAAGCUCCUGAUCGAAGCCCCAGUAAACGGCGGCCGUAACUAUAACGGUCCUAAGGUAGCGAAAUUCCUUGUCGGGUAAGUUCCGACCUGCACGAAUGGCGUAAUGAUGGCCAGGCUGUCUCCACCCGAGACUCAGUGAAAUUGAACUCGCUGUGAAGAUGCAGUGUACCCGCGGCAAGACGGAAAGACCCCGUGAACCUUUACUAUAGCUUGACACUGAACAUUGAGCCUUGAUGUGUAGGAUAGGUGGGAGGCUUUGAAGUGUGGACGCCAGUCUGCAUGGAGCCAACCUUGAAAUACCACCCUUUAACGUUUGAUGUUCUAACCUAGGCCCGUAAUCCGGGUCGGGGACCGUGUCUGGUGGGUAGUUUGACUGGGGCGGUCUCCUCCUAAAGAGUAACGGAGGAGCACGAAGGUUGGCUAAGCAUGGUCGGACAUCAUGCGGUUAGUGCAAAGGCAUAAGCCAGCUUGACUGCGAGAGUGACGGCUCGAGCAGGUACGAAAGUAGGUCUUAGUGAUCCGGUGGUUCUGAAUGGAAGGGCCAUCGCUCAACGGAUAAAAGGUACUCCGGGGAUAACAGGCUGAUACCGCCCAAGAGUUCAUAUCGACGGCGGUGUUUGGCACCUCGAUGUCGGCUCAUCACAUCCUGGGGCUGAAGUAGGUCCCAAGGGUAUGGCUGUUCGCCAUUUAAAGUGGUACGCGAGCUGGGUUUAGAACGUCGUGAGACAGUUCGGUCCCUAUCUGCCGUGGGCGUUGGAAGAUUGAGAGGGGUUGCUCCUAGUACGAGAGGACCGGAGUGAACGCACCACUGGUGUUCGGGUUGUCAUGCCAAUGGCAUUGCCCGGUAGCUAAGUGCGGAAGAGAUAACCGCUGAAAGCAUCUAAGCGGGAAACUUGCCUCGAGAUGAGUCUUCCCUGUCGCUUUAAGUGACCUAAAGGAACGUUUAAGACUAAGACGUUGAUAGGCUGGGUGUGUAAGCGUAGCGAUACGUUGAGCUAACCAGUACUAAUGAACCGUGAGGCUUAACCUG
rnacentral:rRNA from 1 species